rnacentral:rRNA from 1 species
AGUAAACGUUGGCGGCGUGCCUGACACAUGCAAGUCGAACGAUUCCCGAAUAGCUUGCUAUUCGGGAAGAGUGGCGAACGGGUGAGCAACACGUGAGUAAUCAACCCCUCGAGUGAGGAAUAAUUCCGCGAAAGCGGGACUAAUACCGCAUAAUACUCUGGGGCAUAAGCCCUCAGAGUCAAAGCUUUCCGAGCAAUCGGAAGGCGCUUGAGGACGAGCUCGCGGCCUAUUAGCUAGUUGGUAGGGUAAUGGCCUACCAAGGGUUAUGAUGGGUAGCCGGCUUGAGAGGGUGUACGGCCACACUGGGACUGAGACACGGCCCAGACUCCUACGGGAGGCAGCAGUGGGGAAUCUUGCGCAAUGGGCGAAAGCCUGACGCAGCGACGCCGCGUGGAGGAUGAAGGCCUUCGGGUUGUAAACUCCUGUCAGAGGAGAAGAAUUCCCGAGUAAUCGGGAUUGACGGUAUCCUCAGAGGAAGCCCCGGCCAACUACGUG